UACGAAGGGGGCUAGCGUUGUCCGGAUUUAUUGGGCGUAAAGAGCUCGUAGGCGGUGUGUCGCGUCGGCCGUGAAAACCUGCAGCUUAACUGUGGGCUUGCGGUCGAUACGGGCAUCACUGGAGUUCGGCAGGGGAGACUGGAAUUCCUGGUGUAGCGGUGAAAUGCGCAGAUAUCAGGAGGAACACCGGUGGCGAAGGCGGGUCUCUGGGCCGAUACUGACGCUGAGGAGCGAAAGCGUGGGGAGCGAACAGG
rnacentral:rRNA from 1 species